rnacentral:rRNA from 1 species
UACGGGGGGGCAAGCGUUGUUCGGAAUUACUGAGCGUAAAGGGUGCGUAGGCGGCUUUCUAAGUUGGAUGUGAAAACUAUGGGCUCAACCCAUAGCCUGCAUCCAAAACUGGAGAGCUUGGGUUCUGGAGGGGAAAGCGGAAUUCCUGGUGUAGCGGUGAAAUGCGUAGAUAUCAGGAGGAACACCGGUGGCGAAGGCGGCUUUCUGGACAGACACCGACGCUGAGGCACGAAAGCUAGGGGAGCAAACAGG